AUUGAACGCUGGCGGCAUGCCUUACACAUGCAAGUCGAACGGUAACGCGGGGCAACCUGGCGACGAGUGGCGAACGGGUGAGUAAUGCAUCGGAACGUGCCCAGUAGUGGGGGAUAGCCCGGCGAAAGCCGGAUUAAUACCGCAUACGACCUACGGGUGAAAGCGGGGGACCGCAAGGCCUCGCGCUAUUGGAGCGGCCGAUGUCAGAUUAGGUUGUUGGUGAGGUAAAGGCUCACCAAGCCGACGAUCUGUAGCUGGUCUGAGAGGACGACCAGCCACACUCGACUGGGACACGGCCCAGGCUCCUAGGGGAGGCAGCAGUGGGGAAUUUUGGACAAUGGGCGCAAGCCUGAUCCAGCCAUGCCGCGUGCGGGAAGAAGGCCUUCGGGUUGUAAACCGCUUUUGUCGGGGAAGAAAUCUUCUGGGCUAAUACCCCGGGAGGAUGACGGUACCCGAAGAAUAAGCACCGGCUAACUACGUGCCAGCCGCCGCGGUAAAAC
rnacentral:rRNA from 1 species